rnacentral:ncRNA from 1 species
CUCUGGAGAGACCCCGGCGUAGGUACCGGGGCGCCGAAGGGAUAGCGAUCUCAGGCGCAAGGGACAGAG